rnacentral:rRNA from 1 species
UACGUAGGGGGCUAGCGUUGUCCGGAAUUACUGGGCGUAAAGGGCGCGUAGGCGGUUUGUCGCGUCGUUCGUGAAAACUCACAGCUUAACUGUGAGCUUGCGGUCGAUACGGGCAGGCUAGAGUUCGGUAGGGGAGACUGGAAUUCCUGGUGUAGCGGUGAAAUGCGCAGAUAUCAGGAGGAACACCGGUGGCGAAGGCGGGUCUCUGGGCCGAUACUGACGCUGAGGAGCGAAAGCGUGGGGAGCGAACAGG